GACAGAGGCCUCGAGCGUUAGGCGGAAUCACUAGGCUUAAAGCGUGUGUAGGCGGAUCGUUAAGUGCCUUGUGAAAUCCCACGGCUUAACUGUGGAACGGCUGGGCAUACUGGCGGUCUUGAGCCAUCUAGGGGCGACUGGAACAAACGGUGGAGCGGUGAAAUGCGUAGAUAUCGUUUGGAACGCCAAUGGUGAAAACAGGUCGCUGGGGAUGAGCUGACGCUGAGACACGAAAGCCAGGGGAGCAAACGGG
rnacentral:rRNA from 1 species